CAGGCACCACCUUUAUGGGGCUUUCAGACUGGUGGUGUAGACAGACACCGAACGGCUAGCUGCACCGUUAAUUAUUUAAUUGCCAUUGUGAUCAGUGCUGUGAGGGGAGACGGGCAGCUGCUGAGAGCCUGUAACAGAGCUGCCGAGGGCAGACAGAGGAGCCAGAGUUAACAAAGUGUCGUCAUCGAGGCAGCUGAGCUCCUGGAGGACGGUCACUCUGCCCGUUUCAAGGACUUGUCAGUGGGCGACAGAAUCAGCAGACUGGACAGAAGGGUGGAGAUCCAGUGCGGUGGACGGAGAAAGGUGGACGGGACAGGAUGUGGCACAGGCAGGAUUCUUAGCCCCUGUCAUCUCUGUCCCCAAACACGGCAUCCAGCGGGCAUCACCAACACCCGCGUUCAGGACACUCACCGACAAUGACCCUGCCGCGGACCCUGUCUCUCCUGCUCCACCCCACCCCUGAGUGGCAGAUGACAGGACAGGUAAUGGGGAUGGGGACAAGGCGAGGUGGGUGUGAGGCCACACUCUCCAGAACUCUAGAAUCACAGCACAGAGAGGAACGGAGCUUGUGAGGUGCCUCUCGGUCC